ensembl:lncRNA
CACAGACACACCUGCAUGCACACACAAGCUUGCACAGACACACCUGCAUGCACACACAGGCUUGCACAGACACACCUUCAUGCACACACAGGCUUGCACAGACACACCUGCAUGCAUACAAGGCUUGCACAGACACACCUGCAUGCACACACAGGAUUGCACAGACACACCUGCAUGAACACAAGGCUUGCACAAACAAGCACAUAGUGCAUACACCCAAACAAAUGCAAGCUCGAAAACAUACUCAUGCAUGAACACACUCAGAGCAUGCAUACACCCAAGCAGACAAUCAAAGUGUGCACACAUGCACACUUGCACAGUGCACACAUGCACACAUCCACACAUGCACACAUGCACAUACCCAUACCACUCAUGCUUGUGCACAAUUUCAAAUGCACAUGCUCAGAGUAGGCAGACACUCAAAUACAGACACACUCAUGCACACACUACAAGUGUACACACACAAGCAUACAUUCUCAUGUUUGCAUACAUCCAAAGCACACAAACAAAGGCACAUGUGCCCUCAUGAUGCACACAUGAGUGCAAACUUCCAAAGUGUACAUACCCAAAGCAUUCACACACAAGAAAUCUGUAUGCUUUCACACAUGCACACCUGCAUGCAUGUACACUCAAAGCAUGCCACACACAUCAGUGCACACCCCCAGAGCAUACACAUACAAGCACAUGUACUGCCAUGCAGUGCAUACGCAAAGCAUGCACACAGCCACACACGUGCAUGUGUACAAGCCCACAGACAUACACAGACAUGCUUCACAACUGCACUCUAGAAGAGAGCACGGGGCAGAUGGCUCGGUGGUUACCUCUGCAGACUGACACUGGAGAAAUCCAUAAGUUACUCAUUGCUGAGGCUUGGGAGAAGGCUCAGUUGGCAAAGUGCUGGCCACACAAGCAUGGAGACCAGAAUUUGCCCCCAGAACCCACAUAAAAAGCCAGGUGUUGUGACAUACACUUCUAAUCCCAGCCCCAGGAGGCAGGUGGAUCCCUAACACACUCUGGCUGGCCAGCCCAGACAGAUGCAUGGGUUAUAGGUCUCAAGAAUAAGAUAGACGGCAUUAUGAAUAAUAAUAUCCGAAGUCAACCUCUGGCCGCCACGCAAGCACACAUGUGUGCACCUCCAUACACACUCACCACACAAACACAUGAACAAAAUCCACAGUGGUGCCCAGACAUACAUUCAGGCAAAACACUCAUACACAUUAAAUUAAAUAUUAAGAAGUUAAAUUUAUAUAAUAAAUCUUUUAGGAAAUUAAAGUCCAUGCUGAAUGGAGGCUGCACAGCAUUGUCUUCAUCCUUCCACCCCAGGACCUCACACCUACUUCCAGACUGUCGUCACAAAGCAGGGGAGCCCGCCAAGACCUCCCAUUAAGAGGGGGAACUAGAAGAAGUUUGCAGCCCUUCCUUGGAUCCAGCCAGGCAUCUGUGAGCCCAAAAAGGGCCGCCAGGCAUGAGAGGUGUCAGGAUCCACAGCCAGGGGAGGGAUACCCGCCUACCAGCUCUCUCUGGGCUCCUCUACCUCGCGGCCAAGAAACUUCAAGUCAGACCAGUUCCCACAAGCAGCACUAGGUGGCGCUCCGCUAACAAAGAUCUGAAUGGACCUCACAGCCAGCUCAGCCCAAGUCACAGCGCCCCAGGUCCUCAAUCCGCACGUGUCCCAGCCUCAGCUUCCAUCUAAGGCCUGAGCCGCAUGCCUCUACAGCGGUGGAUAAAUGGAAGAUCUUCAGAGUGGAGCAGAGGCAGGGCCGGAACGACCUCGCUGACAGAGCUGCUACUUACCCAGUGAGGGGCUGGUAGCCUGGCUCAGCAUCACAACACCUGCAAAACCCUGGAUCCUAUCUCCAGCGCUGGAAAGUAAUAAGUUAAUUAAGCUAAAGGUGGGAUUGAUGCAGCACACAUAGUGGCUGCUGACUAUAAUCAGCACUCUGGAGGCUGAAGGGAGGAGGGACUGCGCUUCAAGGGCAGCCUGAGCUACGUGGUGAGUUCUGGACUGCAUGAGACCCUGACUCAAAAACUAAAUAAACUGAAAAAAUAAAAACAUGAUGCAUGCCCACAGAAUAAAGGAGACCCCUGACCCACAACAUGGCGAGAAUACAACGAUGCCGGAAGUCUGAAGACUGAGGUACGUAUGGUAGGAAGUACCUGAUGCUUAGUAACCUAGGUAAAUGUCAAGCUAGACUUGUCUUCCUUCCCACUUCUGGUCAGGUCCUCAAAUACUGGCACACAGUUGUGCACACAGUAGGUAUAGUGGAUAGCAGUAACUCAUAGAACUGG